rnacentral:lncRNA from 1 species
CUCCAGGCAGGGCUCUGCAGCUUUCACACCAACCGUUUUGCCUUUUUUUUUUAUUUGCAGCGAUGUCAGGAAAAAAAUUCAGGACAUCAAAAAAGCAGAAAGGGCUGUUUUAGCACCUGUCAGGGGUUCAGGAAGUCCUUUUAUUGGGAGUGAUGAGAAUUAAUAUGGAGGUAGUGAAGACAAAGGAUUAAUGCCAGUUCUAAGCACUCUCCUUUGCAGAAGCAGCUGCCUUGCUAACGACAGCAGCUCGAGGAGAAAGCAUGAAAAAUCGGCAGAUGUGAGAACAACAACAAAAAAAAAGGGCGGCUUUUUGUGUCCGAGGAAAACCUGUACAAUAUCUAGUGAGGACGUGCUGGUUGUGCGGGACACUGCACCCAGCAGAAAUUGCGCCCCACCCGAUGUAACUGAACAAUACGCCAUAUGAACUACUGGGGUCUGAGGGUUUCAUGAAUCUUACAUCGGCCAUAACUAUGAUUCAACUGGACAGCAAUACACUAAGGUAAAGCAUUUUAAGCAGCUUAACACAUAUAAGUUGUUCAGAGCGGA